rnacentral:misc_RNA from 1 species
CCCAACUAUCCCUAUUAAUCAUUACGUCAAUCCUAGAAACCAACAAAAUAAGAUCAACGUCCUAUUUCAUUAUUCCAUGCUAAUGUAUUCAAGCGUGAGCCUGCUUUAAACACUCUAAUUUUUUCAAAGUAACAGUCCUGAUUCCCUACCACACCAAAUUAAUGGCAUGAUAGUUCUUCAGAAGGGAGAAAUCAGUAGCACCAGUGCAUACCAGAGGCACGACCAGCGCACUGAUUCCGAAAUUCAACUACGAGCUUUUUAACUGCAACAACUUUAAUAUACGCUAUUGGAGCUGGAAUUACCACGGCUGCUGGCACCAGACUUGCCCUCCAA